CUGGCCCUGAAUCAAGGCUGGCAGCUUCCUGAUGCUUUAGGUUUCAAGCAGGAGCCUAAAAAGAUGUCUUUCUAUGGUGUGUUGGCCAUUUCAGAACUUGGGCAGUGAAGUGGUCAAUUCAUUAGAAAGAAACAGCU
ensembl:snoRNA